rnacentral:lncRNA from 1 species
UUUAGUUCCCUUAAAUCCCCCCUUCCCUGGAACUACCCAGGGGCUUCUUUUCCCCCUUUUUGCUUCUCUGAAGGCUCAAUUCAAUAAAUACACAUCCGGCUCCUUGGGAGCUUAAUGAAAUUGCGGGAGGCACUUCCAAGAGCAGGAUGUUUAUUUUUCUCUGCUGCUGCAGGUCCUGCGUGCCCGGAGAGCUCCAUAAAGAGCCCCUUGUGCCUGAGCGGGAACGCUGGGGCAGCCGGGAAGUGCUGCACUCACUCAACACCGGGCUCCUCUUACUGCACAGCCGGCUGCCUUUCCAGGGAAUUUAGGAAAACGAGCCCAGUGUUAAGGAGACAAACACUGGUUUGGGACCCUGAGGUGCAGCGAGGAUGGAUGGAUUCAGAAAAUUUGGAAAGAUGCAGAAAAUUUGGAUGCAUUCCAAUGGCAGGGGUUCAUGGUGAGUCCUGUUCCUUUUGGGCCUGGCACUGAACAUUC